rnacentral:rRNA from 1 species
GACGUAGGGCGCGAGCGUUGUCCGGAUUUAUUGGGCGUAAAGAGCUCGUAGGCGGCUUGUUGCGUCGGCUGUGAAAUCCCGUGGCUUAACUGCGGGCUUGCAGCUGAUACGGGCGGGCUGGAGUUCGGUAGGGGAGACUGGAAUUCCUGGUGUAGCGGUGAAAUGCGCAGAUAUCAGGAGGAACACCGGUGGCGAAGGCGGGUCUCUGGGCCGGUACUGACG